rnacentral:rRNA from 1 species
GAUGAACGCUGGCGGCGUGCCUAAUACAUGCCAGUCGAGCGAACAGAUAAGGAGCUUGCUCCUUUGACGUUAGCGGCGGACGGGUGAGUAACACGUGGGUAACCUACCUAUAAGACUGGGAUAACUUCGGGAAACCGGAGCUAAUACCGGAUAACAUUUGGAACCGCAUGGUUCUAUAGUGAAAGAUGGUUUUGCUAUCACUUAUAGAUGGAUCCGCGCCGCAUUAGCUAGUUGGUAAGGUAACGGCUUACCAAGGCAACGAUGCGUAGCCGACCUGAGAGGGUGAUCGGCCACACUGGAACUGAGACACGGUCCAGACUCCUACGGGAGGCAGCAGUAGGGAAUCUUCCGCAAUGGGCGAAAGCCUGACGGAGCAACGCCGCGUGAGUGAUGAAGGUUUUCGGAUCGUAAAACUCUGUUAUUAGGGAAGAACAAAUGUGUAAGUAACUGUGCACGUCUUGACGGUACCUAAUCAGAAAGCCACGGCUAACUACGUG